UACGAAGGGGGCUAGCGUUGCUCGGAAUCACUGGGCGUAAAGCGCACGUAGGCGGCUUUCUAAGUCAGGGGUGAAAUCCUGGAGCUCAACUCCAGAACUGCCUUUGAUACUGGAGAGCUUGAGUCCGGAAGAGGUGAGUGGAACUCCGAGUGUAGAGGUGAAAUUCGUAGAUAUUACGGAAGAACACCAGUGGCGAAGGCGGCUCACUGGUCCGGUACUGACGCUGAGGUGCGAAAGCGUGGGGAGCAAAC
rnacentral:rRNA from 1 species